rnacentral:lncRNA from 1 species
AACACAAAGAAGUUAAAGAGACCAGUAGCCCCAAAGCACUUACAGAGCAAUUUUAUUAGGACUUGGGUUACUGGGAAAGUUUUAUUUUAUCACUCAGCUAUUAUCUUGAAUCUGCCAUUCACUCAAAGGUUAUUGUUGCCCUUAAUUCAGCUCUGUACCUUCUGGGCUAUCACAAUUUUGUUGAGCACUUUUCUACCCAGAUAGAUAACAGGAUUUGGUGACAGCUUUCAAUUGCAUUACCACUGAAACUUUUGUAGAUCUAGGAUUUCUUUGUGUAGGCUGGUCCCUGACUAUGACUUACUUAGGCUAGUACUUAUUAGCUUAUAAAACUGGCCUGACUCUGUAAAAUAAAUCACUAAUUCUUCCAGAGUAACCACCUCUAGCAGUGUUUAUCAACACACACAUAAAUAAUCUAGAUGACCAUCAUGAGGGAUUCAUCAUGACCUCUGACGUGCUCCUGGCCUAUCCUAUAAGUUCAUUUAGUAAUAAGAUCCCUGGUCAAUAGAAGUAUCACCUAAACUCCAGCUUUCAAAGGUUCUGUUGUGUUCUUGAGAAAGAGUAUUUGAAGCGAAAGGAAUGAAAUUGGCAGAGAAGUUAUGGUCUUUUAAGUAUCUGAGAAAGGCUCCCAUAUACAGAGGGAUGGCUGUGACCCGAUCAUUCCUUGGCAAAUGAACAAAAGAGAAAAUACAAUUACUUAAGCAGAGAAAAAUACCCAAUUUGAGAAAUUAAGAACAAACUACAGAAAAAAUAUGAUAGCAUUCCAAUUUUCCCUUAAGUUAUCUACUAUUUAAAAAAGUUUUAAUAGCUGAUCUUCGUGGGCACAUGGUAAAAUUUGUUCUUCCGUGUUUUUUAAAGAAUUUUUUAAUGUUUAUUUUUGAGAGAAAGAGAGAGAAAGGGAGAGAGAGAGAGAGAGAGAGAGAGAGAGAGAGGCAGAGGCAGGUGUGGAGGGGCAAAGAGAGAGGGAGACACAGAAUCUGAAGCAGGCUCCAGGCUCUGACCUGUCAGCACAGGGCCUGACAUGGAGUCUGAACUCAUGAACCACAAGAUCCUGAUCUGAGCUGAAGUCAGAUGCUUAACCAACUGAGCCACCCAGGCGUCCCUGUUCUUCCAUGUUUUACUUGUCGUAUUCAUCCAUAAAUAACUUGGCACUAUGUAUCAAGAACCAUAAAAAUGUUCUGAUUUUUUGACCCACUAAUUCUCCUUUUGGGAGCCCAAAAUAUGAAGAAAUCACAUGAAUAAAGAUAUUAAUCACAUCAAUUGUUAAAAUACUAUAUGAAGAAACUUAAAUGCCCAACAAUGUAGAAAUGGUUACAGAAAUUAUAACAUGCCCAUUUAAAAAGUUUUUUUUAAUUUUUUUAUUUUUUAUUUUUGAGAGAGACAGAGCAUGAGCAGGGGAGGGGUGGAGAGAGAGGGAGACCCAGAAUCCAAAGCAGGCUCCAGGCUCUGAGCUGUCAGCACAGAGCCUGAUGUGGGGCUUGAACCCACAGACCGUGAGAGCAUGAUGUGAGCUGAAGUCGGAUGCUUAACCAACUGAGCCACCCAGGCACCCCAUAACAUGCCCAUUUUAUAGGUGCAUAAAGUAGAGAUACUCUUAGUCUAGGAUCUAUUCGACAUAAAUAUUUGUCUUUUGUGUGUCAAGUGCUUUAUCAGAUUCUGAGACUACAGUGGUAAGCAAAAUAAUACCAUUUGCUACCAAGCCCAGGAAGCUUAGAAUCUGGUAGGGAACUAGAUAUUAAUGAAAAUAAUAUGUUACCUUCAUGGCCAGGUAUUUAGGAGGGCCAUUUUCAUUGUUUAAAGAUUUGCAUUAAACGUUUUACUGGACAGACUUGGUUUGGGGCUGACUCAGUCAAUGUACAGGAUAGAUAACCUUGAUGUUGUGUUUGUCUGUGGCUUAAGAACACAAUAGGUAAUGGGAACAUUUGAUAGCAUGUAGGAAAGGAGGUGUGGAACUCUCAAAGCACUCAGGCCAUCAAUGCUAUUAGGAGCUCUGAAAUCUAAUGUUUUUAAGCUCAGUUGAGUCUUCUGUUGACCUAACUAAAUGUUUAGGACAACAGCAUUUCUGCUUCUCUCGUGUACUUUUUUUUUUACCCUGUGUAUUGGAAACAGAGUAUGAAUAAUUAAUGAGCAAUUUUUAUUGUAUCUCAUGAAACUAUAAUGAUGCUAAGUUUGUUGCAUGAUACAGAUAAUGGGAUAAGAUUAGUCCUGCAGUUCCACUGCAAACUUCGAUGUUCCCUUAUCAAAGUUUAAUGACCUCUUGCUGUGACAAAGAACAACAUUAGGUGCUUAAAAAAAUUCACUUUCAACCUAAUUUGCAGAUAUUGAAGCAAAGGCUAAGGAAUGUUGUAAUGAUAGAUUUCAUGUUUUGGGUAUUCAUUGGAUCCAAAUAUGUGGUAAAUGUGUCUAUUUCAGAGGGAAACAUAUUUAGUUUUUUAUUUCUUUUUAUUUUUUUAAUUAAUUUAUUUUUUUAAUGUUUAUUUAUUUUUGAGAGAGAGGGACACAGAGUGUGAGCAGGGGAGCCACAGAAUCCGAAGCAGGCUCCAGGCUUUAAGCUGUCCUCUCAGAGUCCAAUGCAGGGCUUGAACCCAGGAACUGCAAGAUCAUGACCUAAGCUGAAGUCGGAUGCUUAACCGACUGAGCCACCCAGGUGCACCUCACAGAGGUCCUCACAGGGCCCCUUCUUAUAUGGAUAAUUUUACAGAGUUAUGAAUCAUUCACAUGCUUUGGGGUCUUGGGUUGUGAUUUUUUAUUUUUUUUUUACACAUAAAUGCAUUUGAUGCUUCUCUUCAUUCACAUGGAGCACUUAUUCCUUAUUUCUUGUUUUAAUGGUAAAGGGAAUUGUGCCCCUCUCCCUUUUCAUCUUUAUUAACAUCACCUCUGGCCCCCUCCUCCUUGUUUGAGAUCAGUAUCAUGAGGAAGCAUUUGCUUCUGAGGUUUAGGUAUGACUGAUAAAAAUAAAAUAAAAUAAUCCUCUCAUAUAUAUACAAA